rnacentral:rRNA from 1 species
GACGAACGCUGGCGGCGUGCUUAACACAUGCAAGUCGAACGGAAAGACCCUGCUUUUGUGGGGUGCUCGAGUGGCGAACGGGUGAGUAACACGUGAGUAACCUGCCCUUGACUUUGGGAUAACUUCAGGAAACUGGGGCUAAUACCGGAUAGGAGCUCCUGCUGCAUGGUGGGGGUUGGAAAGUUUCGGCGGUUGGGGAUGGACUUGCGGCUUAUCAGCUUGUUGGUGGGGUAGUGGCUUACCAAGGCUUUGACGGGUAGCCGGCCUGAGAGGGUGACCGGCCACAUUGGGACUGAGAUACGGCCCAGACUCCUACGGGAGGCAGCAGUGGGGAAUAUUGCACAAUGGGCGGAAGCCUGAUGCAGCAACGCCGCGUGCGGGAUGACGGCCUUCGGGUUGUAAACCGCUUUCGCCUGUGACGAAGCGUGAGUGACGGUAAUGGGUAAAGAAGCACCGGCUAACUACGUG